UCGCUCCUACCGAUUGAGUGUUCCGGUGAAUAAUUCGGACUGCAGCAAUUCUCGGUUCCCGAGUUUGCAGCGGAAAGUUUAGUGAACCUUAACACUUAGAGGAAGGAG
rnacentral:rRNA from 1 species